UACGUAGGGUGCAAGCGUUAAUCGGAAUUACUGGGCGUAAAGCGUGCGCAGGCGGUUGUGCAAGACAGAUGUGAAAUCCCCGGGCUCAACCUGGGAAUUGCGAUGGAGACUGCAAGGCUGGAGUCUGGCAGAGGGGGGUAGAAUUCCACGUGUAGCAGUGAAAUGCGUAGAUAUCUGGAGGAACACCGGUGGCGAAGGCGGCAUCCUGGACCGGCAUUGACGCUGAGGCGCGAAAGCCAGGGGAGCCAAAGCGGG
rnacentral:rRNA from 1 species